rnacentral:rRNA from 1 species
AGAGUUUGAUCCUGGCUCAGAGUGAACGCUAGCGGCGUGGUUAAGACAUGCAAGUCGAGCGAUGAAGUCCCUUCGGGGAUGGGAUAGCGGCAAACGGGUGCGUAACACGUGAGCAACCUGCCUUGAAGUGGGGGAUAGCCCGGGGAAACCCGGAUUAAUACCGCAUGUGGUCCCUUCUCGCAUGAGAAGUGGACCAAAGCUUGUAAAGGCGCUUCAAGAGGGGCUCGCGGCCUAUCAGCUUGUUGGUGAGGUAAAGGCUCACCAAGGCGAAGACGGGUAGCUGGUCUGAGAGGAUGAUCAGCCACACUGGGACUGAGAUACGGCCCAGACACCUACGGGUGGCAGCAGUUUCGAAUCAUUCACAAUGGGGGAAACCCUGAUGGUGCAACGCCGCGUGGAGGAUGAAGGCCUUCGGGUUGUAAACUCCUGUCACCAGGGAACAAACAGUCGGUUCGUAGCCGGCUCUGAGUUAACCUGGAGAGGAAGAGGUGGCUAACUCCGUGCCAGCAGCCGCGGUAAUACGGAGACCUCAAGCGUUACUCGGAUUCACUGGGCGUAAAGAGUAUGUAGGCUGUCUGGUAUGUCAGGUGUGAAAGCCCGGGGCUCAACCUCGGAAUUGCGCCUGAAACUACCGGACUCGAGGCCUGGAGAGGGGAGUGGAAUUCCUGGUGUAGCGGUGAAAUGCGUAGAUAUCAGGAGGAACACCAAUGGCGAAGGCAGCUCCCUGGACAGGUUCUGACGCUGAGAUACGAAAGCGUGGGUAGCGAAAGGGAUUAGAUACCCCUGUAGUCCACGCCGUAAACGUUGUACACUAGGUUUCGGAGGGCCUACCCCUUCGGAGCUCCAGCUAACGCGUUAAGUGUACCGCCUGAGGACUACGGCCGCAAGGCUAAAACUCAAAGGA